CCUACGGGAGGCUGCAGUGGGGAAUAUUGGACAAUGGGCGAAAGCCUGAUCCAGCCAUGCCGCGUGUGGGAAGAAGGCCUUCGGGUUGUAAAGCACUUUCAGUGGGGAAGAAAGCCUUGGGGCUAAUACCCUCGAGGAAGGACAUCACCCACAGAAGAAGCACCGGCUAACUCCGUGCCAGCAGCCGCGGUAAUACGGAGGGUGCGAGAGUUAAUCGGAAUUACUGGGCGUAAAGCGCGCGUAGGCGGUCUGAUAAGCCGGUUGUGAAAGCCCCGGGCUCAACCUGGGAACGGCAUCCGGAACUGUCAGGCUAGAGUGCAGGAGAGGAAGGUAGAAUUCCCGGUGUAGCGGUGAAAUGCGUAGAGAUCGGGAGGAAUACCAGUGGCGAAGGCGGCCUUCUGGACUGACACUGACGCUGAGGUGCGAAAGCGUGGGUAGCAAACAGGAUUAGAUACCCCGGUAGUC
rnacentral:rRNA from 1 species